rnacentral:rRNA from 1 species
UACGUAGGGGGCUAGCGUUGUCCGGAAUCAUUGGGCGUAAAGAGCUCGUAGGCGGUUUGUCGCGUCUGCUGUGAAAACCCGAGGCUCAACCUCGGGCCUGCAGUGGGUACGGGCAGACUAGAGUGCGGUAGGGGAGAUUGGAAUUCCUGGUGUAGCGGUGGAAUGCGUAGAUAUCUGGAGGAACACCGGUGGCGAAGGCGGCAUCCUGGACCGGGUAUUGACGCUGAGGCGCGGAAA